GGAUUUGCACUGGGCGUGGCUUCAAGGGGCGGGCCCUCAGGUGGGCGGUGCCUUCGGUCCCGGAGUCCGUGGGGGCGGGGCCUCUAAAGGGCUCGGCUAUCAUUGGGUGGAGAUUUGGGGGCGGGGAAUGUUGGGCGUGGCUACUGGGUUCCGGAGCCGCGUUUGCGCUGGGCGCGGCCUCCAUAAAGCUGUGAGGGCGGGGCACCUGGGGCGCGGCUGCAGGGUGGUCCUCCAAUGGGUGCGGCUCUGGGGCGGGGCUUGCGUACGGCGGGGCCUCCAUAAAGCGGCUCAGCGCCGGCACCGCCUCCCCGUCCGCGCCGAAUAUGUUCGUGGGGCGGUCGCCCGCCCGCGGGCUCCUGCUGCUGCUGCUGUCGUUCCUGCUGCUGCCGCAGGUGGCGCUGGGCUUCGCAGACGGCAGCUGCGACCCCUUGGACCAGUGCCCGCCCCAGGCCCGCUGGAGCAGCCUGUGGCACGUGGGGCUUAUCCUGCUUGCUGUCCUCCUGCUGCUGCUGUGUGGGGUCACGGCCAGCUGUGUCCGGUCCUGCUGCCUCCGGAAGCGGGCACACACUCAGCCACACCUGCCCUCCACACCUCAGCCUUGCGACCUGACAGUCAUUCCUGUGGACAGCGACAGCCCCGUGCACAGCACUGUGACUUCCUACAGCUCCGUGCAGUACCCGCUGAGCACACAGCUGCCCCUACCCUUUGGGGAGCUGGACCUCGACUCCAUGACCCCUCCCGCCUACAGCCUGUACGCCCCUGA
rnacentral:lncRNA from 1 species